rnacentral:siRNA from 1 species
AGAAAAAGUGCCCUCUCCCUCAUA